AACAUUGGCAGAACCUAACAACCUCCACGUUUAAUAAUGGAAAUUUGGAUCCCAGUUGUGGUUGUAAGUCGAAGGUUACCUGUACAGUGUCUCUGUUUUUCCCAAUGCAAUUGUUCCUCCCAAUACAUACCAUUACAUUAAUUUCCCAUCAGAUUACAACUAUCUUUCCACUUCUCUUCCUACUCUACAGAGUGCCAAUUUUGGCAUCUCCUGUAUGCUGUUCUUGUUCAGCGUGCUGGAAUUUUGCAUCGCUGUUUCCAUGGCUCACUUUGGGUGCCAGGCAGCUUGCUGUAUUGCCCAGCUUGCCCAGCCACCCAUGGUUUUUGUGCCUUACCAAGUCAUCAGAGGUGGAGCAGUUGCAGCUGAACCAAAUCCUCCUCUUCCUCAUCCUCCACCGACUUACGAUAACAUGGAUAUCAAAUCUCAGUAAAACAAGAAGGAAGUAUGAGAAUUGUUGGCAAAAGAGGUUUCAGGAGAAGCAAUGCAUUUCAUUUUACUUUAUUUCUUGGUCCAGCUUGCUUGUUUCCUUUUCAAUUACAGCUUUUAAACACCAAAUUAAAUGCUGGCAAGUUUUAAAAGUUCUUCUAUUUUACUAAAUAAUUAUUUCCUAGAAUCAAGAAUUUGUGCUACAAAUCAUCAGCAUAUUUAUGAAAAAGUACUGUACACUCCUUACAAUGGAUGAUGGAGGCUGUUUAUUUUGUUUAUACUCUAGAUGACGUUUGUUUUUUUGUGACAAAUAUGGAAUUAAGUACGAGGUCUGAUGCUGCAGAAAAGAAAAAUGGCUACCAAAUUAAAACACAGAUUAUUUAUAAAACACAUCAUUGACACAAUACAGAUAGUUCUUGACUUACGAUUGCAGUUUGGACCAGAACGUCCAUUGCUAAGUGAAGCAGUUUAAGUGAAUUGUGCCCGAUUUAUGACAAUUUUUGCCACUGUUGUUAAGUGAAUUACUCUGGUUGUUUAGUGAUUCACAUGGUCCUUAAGUGAAUCUGUUUUCCCACAUUUGACUUUUUAAAAUCCAGCUGGGAAGGUCAUAAACAGCAAUCCCUGAUUCUGGCAUGCCAGAACUGUCCUAAGAACAGGCAGGUUGCCAAGCAUCUUGAGUUCUGAUCACGUGACCAUGGGGAUGCGGCUACGUGUGAGGACUGGUCUUGAGUCACUUUUUUCAGUUCUGUUGUAAAUUUGAAUGGUCACCAGUUGUAAGUUGAGAACUUCCUGUAGUAGCAGUUGCAUAAUCUCUGUGAUCGCAAAACAGAUUAGAAGAAGUUUGUAUAUAGCUGAAAUAUUCCAUAUUGUUUGGGUACUUAAAUUGAUCAAAACCACAUUUUUUUUUACUGUCCAUAAGUCCAUUCAUUAUCUGCCUCCUGGAAGAUUUCUCAAUUGUGCAAACAUGCAAUUUCUAAAUCAAAGCCAUUCCUAUUUUUAGGGAGGGUAUACUUGGGUGGGGGGCAAUUAUGGCCCCUUUAUGACCUGUGAACGUCAACUCUCAGAAUUCUUGAGCCUUCAUGACUGACUCAGGAACAUAGCAAAGAUUCAGAUUCAUUGCUUCCCUGUCCAUAAUUACAUGGUGAAAAGUUUGACUCCUGCAAUGAUUUUAGAGGUGUACAAUCUGUACAUUUGCACAGGCUUUGAGGCUCAAGCUGAUAGGCAAUAUCCUGAAUAUAAUCUAGCUCAGUUAAAAUGAUGUCACUCUUAUUUCUUUUCUUUGAUGAGCUGAUUCCCUGUUCAAGCAGCAGGAGGCCAUGGUGGGCGCUCCGCCCCCACAUGCAGCCCAUUGAAAAAGAGAUAGGGGUUUGGACAGAUACCCUGGAGGCUUGGCAAUAUAAGAGGAUAGAGAUGGGAGGAAUACUUAGACUAAAGAGUAAAAAUGCAGAGGUAUAUAGAGACAAAGAUCCAAGAGAGCAGUAUGGGAGGUAUGCCAAAACACAAAUAAGA